UUUCAUAGAUAUCCAUCUCCAACAACCGACAACCAUCUCCCCCAACGAAAUCAUCCGCAGGCUACUUCCACCCUACCAAUUUGGCAGUGACAUUUUCCAAAAAAAGAUAUUUUUAAAGAUUAUCUUGAAACGGAAUUAUUCUUAAUUUCUUAUUAUAUAUUACAAUUGUCCAAUAAUGUUGUUGUGGGGGAAGGAGGAGAGGUUGAGGUCAGACCUAGAGAAGACAGAGAAGAUGCUUGAAGAGAGAGGGUUAAUGUUGGAGAAGAUGACGAAGGAAAUUGAUAAGAAAGUCGAGACUCAGAAGGCACUCCAAACGGAAGCCGACAUGCUGUUUCGAUUCAGAUUAUUAUGCAAGGUAAUUAAUUAUCUCAGAUAUAUCGUUAUUAAUUAAAACUGUAGAUUUAAUGAAAACUCUUGAUUCAUUGAUUGAUUGAUUUCUUAUUAUAAAUUGUCAUUUACGUUUUCAGAGAAUCCGGCCAUUGAGAGAGACGGAACAACAAAAUAUGAAGAAAGAGGUAAAUCAUUCAUGCAUGCAUGCAUGGCUUCUUUAUGUGAAUUUAUUAUGAUUGAUUUAUAUCAAUUUUUAUAUUAUGGAUUAUAUAUGAUUAUGAAAAGAUUAAUUGUAUUUGUUAGGAAAGUGGGGAUGAAAUGGAAGAAAAAUUCUCCGGGCUAAAGACCACUUAUUUGCAAAUGAGAAAAUCGAUGGGAUGAAAUGGAAUGCAGAUUAAAUCUCUCAAAUGUAAACAAUUUCCCUUCAUUGUUUAGUUUCUAUAAAUUUUGGUGCUUUUCUCCAACAUACUUUAUUUUUGAUCCCUUGUCGACCAUUACUAGAAGUCACAACCCACAAAAUGAUACAAUACUUCAAAAAAAAUUCUUCAAAUUACACGGUGUAACACUAAUUCCACAUAAUAUCGUAACUUCAAUAUAUAACAUUAUUUCCAAACUAAAUUUGAUCAUCUGUAUCACAAAUUGGCAACCAAGUAAACCAUUUGGGUUGUUGCGACUUGUUAACACAUGUGAAAAAUAUAGUGGAUAAACUUAUCAACUCAUUUUCAAAUCCUGACACUGCUAUUCAGUCCUUGUGGUCAUAGAGGUUCGUCUGCAGUGAUUCUAGGACAUGAGACAAAAUCUUAUGUUUGUAGCGGGGGAUUAGUCGGUGCGCAAAAACUUGUCCGGAACCCUUGUUAGAGAAGUUUCAUUUCCAAAAAGUCUUCCAUAAUGAUCCACUAUCCUCUAGGCCUCUAUGAUGUUAGAAAGUCUCCAAUAAUGAUCCACUACCCUCUGCAGUGUUCUACGUACGCUGGGAAUGGAAACUCUAGUUCUUUUUCUUGCUUAUUCCUUUAGGCUACUUCACUAAAACCUCUAAAUCAAUCUUGUGGGCCACUGAUUCUUGAGUCUUAACGUUGAACAUGUUAGAACCAUAAACAUGCAUCCCAAAAGGCUAAAACUAUCGAAAAAAUUGGUUUAACUAAAUUUCACGAAAUGGUUUUAUCCCAAUUUGGUAGUACUCUGGUGCAACUCAUGAGUUGCACCACUUAGCUUUUGCAAUAAAUAGACUAAAUAGAUAUACUAGUAAUCCAUUGUGAUGAAUACUAGAAGAGUAUUACAAGAGUGUUACGAUCCUUAAGGUAUACUCACAUUUAUGGGUUAAAGUAUACAAGAUAUUACUAGGUCAUGGAAGGGUACCAUGAUGUAAAUUGAAGGUGGAGCUAUAUCAUAGAAGUCCUAAAAAACCAUUUAUAGUUAUAUCCACUAUGGAAUCUAAAAUCCCGCUAGAGCUAAUUUUGAUAAAAGAGGAGUUAACGUUCACUCUACUUUGUGCGCGGUUUGCGAUACUGUGUUGAGACAAGUGAUGAUCACCUCUUCAAUUCAUGUUUUGUUGCUUCCUCAAUUUGAUUCCAAGUUGCCGCAUGGUGGGAGAUCAAUGAUUUAAUGUGCAACAUGUUGGAAUCCUAAGUCGUGUAAGACUUGGAGUCCAAGUAAACUUGGAAUUUAAGCAAGAUGGUUUAAGUUUCCGUAGUCUUAUUCUACAAGUCGGUAGUUUAGGAGUAUAUAUAUAUGUAUAAAUAUCGAGGCAUGAUAUUAUGCAGAAAACUGUAUUGAGUUUUUAGAGUUAUAUUUUCUCAAUAAAAUUGGAGAGUUAUUCCAAAUUCGUUUUAUGCUAUUUGAUUAGAAUUAGUAUCAGAGCACAGAAGCAAGAAGCUGUGAGAUCGAUUAUUACAUGUUGACGAGUCAGGUCAACAUGUCAGAUACAUGGGGAGAUGGAGAAGCUCCAGUGAGGGUGAAAGAGAUUGGAUCAACCUCUGUUCAGUGUCCUAUGCUCACAUCAACGAAUUACACGGUGUGGUCAAUGAGAAUGAAAGCGGUAUUAAAGAUUCAUAAGGCUUGGGAGAUAAUUGAACCAGGAACUACAAAAGAUCAAGACAAAGAUGAUUUAGCAAUAGGUUUAAUUUACCAAUCGAUACCUGAAGACCUCAUAAUCCAAAUCGGCGAACAAGAAUCUUCCAAGGGACUUUGGGAAGCAAUCAAAUCAAGACAUAUGAGGGCUGAUCGUAUGAAGGAGGUACGAUUGUAGACUUUAAUGUCUGAUUUUGAUCGAUUGAUGAUGAUUGAGUCGGAGUCGAUCGACUCUUUCACGAGAAAAUUAUCAGGAAUCGCAUCCAAGGCAGCCGCACUCGGUGAAUCAAUCGAUGAACCAAGAAUGGUGAAGAAAUUCUUGAAAUGGCUACCAAGGGCAAAAUACAUCCAUAUUGUCGCCUCUUUGGAACAGGUGUUGGAUUUGAAGAUGUAGUAGGGCGGUUAAAAGCAUAUGAAGAACGAAUUAGGGAGGAAGACGAUGUCGGAGAAGAUCAAGUGAAGGCGCUACUUACGAAGUCUUCUAGUAGCGGUGGUUCGAGUAAUCGCAGAACACAAUGAAAAGGGACGAAGGGAUUAAACGGGGCAGGAGGGUCAAAUGGACCGAAUGGAUCAAGUAGAUCCAAAUGUGUUAAUCGGGUCUCGCAAGUUUGCAAGACCAAUCAUGGAAACAAGUCCAAUUUUGAUCACCCAAUUCCAAAAAUAACCCAAUUAAGAAUAAAAAAAAAAGAUCGUUCCAAAAUUAUUUGUUAUCGAUGCGAUAAACCAGGCCACUUUGUGUCUCAAUGCCCGGAUCGAAUUAAAAAAUUACAAGAAAGUAAUUUUUCCGAAUAUGACGAUACUGACGAGACCGUAAUUUUACACGAGACCGUAUUUUUUAACGAAGAAAAAGUGAUACCGUCCCGAUAAAACUCACAAGACAACGAUGUGUGGUACUUAGAUAACGGGGCAAGCAAUCACAUGACGGGAAAUCGGUCGUUUUUCUCCGAACUUGAUGAAGGCAUAACCGAGAGGGUUAAAUUUGGAGAUAAUUCAUAUGUAAAAAUCAAACGAAAAGGUGCUAUACUUUUCCAAGGCAAGAUGGGUCAACAAAGGCUGAUGACGGAGAUUUACUAUAUACCGGAUCUCAAGAACAAUAUUAUUAGUCUCGUAGAAGCAAGCGAAGUCGAGUGUGAUAUUCGAAUGAAAGACAAUUAUUUGACCAUGCACGAUGCCGAUAAUUUCUUAUUAAUGAAGGUACAAAGAACUCCAAACCGCCUUUAUAAAAUAAAAUUACAAAUUGGAGUUCCUAUUUGCCUUCAUUCGAGACUAAGAGAAGAUACAUGGUGAUGGCAUGCAAGACUCGGGCACAUCAAUUUUGAGUCAAUGAAAAAAAUGUCCAAUAAAGGUCUAGUCAAAGGGUUACCCAAAUUUGAUCACGAGAAUCAAUUGUGUGAGUCUUGUUUGGUGGGCAAGCAAACAAGANGCAGGCUACUUCCACCCUACCAAUUUGGCAGUGACAUUUUCCAAAAAAAGAUAUUUUUAAAGAUUAUCUUGAAUCGGAAUUAUUCUUAAUUUCUUAAUAUAUAUUACAAUUGUCCAAUAAUGUUGUUGUGGGGGAAGGAGGAGAGGUUGAUGUCAAACCUAGAGAAGACAGAGAAGAUGCUUGAAGAGAGAGGGUUAAUGUUGGAGAAGAUGACGAAGGAAAUUGAUAAGAAAGUCGAGACUCAGAAGGCACUC
rnacentral:lncRNA from 1 species